UCAAGGGAACAUUUUGACCAACUCUAAAAAUAUCUUUCUAUAUGGCUUGCUUCUUAGAAAGAAAGUCACUUCUAUCUUGCUAUGUCUGGACUUUAUUGUUUAUGGCAUACUAUACAGAUGGAGCAAUGCAAGACUGAGUUGGACACUCUCCCAUUGGACCACUGCAUGGACUCCUUAGCCUUUUGGAAACCUUAUGUCUGUACAAUUUUAUCUCCUCUCAGGCAGGUCUGAAAUGCGCACACCCACACUGUUGAGCUUUGUGUAAAUUAAAUGCUUUCUGGCAACACAAGGAACAUUUCAUGCUUUGUACAUUUCCAGACCUGCAGCAAAACGGUAGGUGUUGAAUAAAAGCCAAGUCAGAGCCUUUUUUGUAAGUGUUGGAUACCCUUGUGACCUACCACUCAGAAGCGAUACCAUUGAGCUCAGUGCCAAACCCCUACAACUUUCAGAUAGACAUGAUUUUUAUUUCCUUUGGUCUCUGCUAAACUGACAUGCAUUCCACCCGGCUGACGGAGGCCUCUCCAAUUGGGAAUUUCUUUUAAAGCCAGGAAAAAUCAAUCCAAAUUAAGGGUACCACUGAACACCCUGUACUCUCAGGAGCAAGGAAUGUGACUAUCCCUGGCUCGUGCAUGGGGUGUACAAGAAGAAGAUCACCCAUUUGAAUCCAGACCAGCUCACUUGGGAUUAAAAUGUGUUGUCUUCGAAUGGUGGUCCCUAUAUGAGAUGUGUUUAUUAUAUCAUAAACCUUACCAGCACACUUUUCACUGAUUGGCAAACUCAGUAGAAAGGCAACGAAUUGCAUGGCCAUGGAUACUGAACUACCCUUGCCACCUCUAGGUAACCUAAGAAUGAGAUGGACCAUCUCUAGGUGAUCAAAUGAGUUCAUUUACUCCCGGGCAGUGGCAAAUUAUGGAAAACGUCCCUCUGGCAAGCAUUUGAUGAACAUUUCUGAAACAUUAAGCAAAAAGGGCCUGCACUCAUUCAAGUCAAUGAAAAAGCUCCCAUUGAUGGGCAAGAUGCAGGAUCAAGCAAUGAAUGUCCAGCCUGGCUGACACUGAAGUCCAUGAAAAAAACUCUCUGUAACUUCAGACCCUACAUUUCUGAUUGUACAGGAAAAGCCAUCUGAGCUAAAGCAACAACUUUUAGCGCCUACUACCUUAUGUCUUGCCCUUCUGCUCCUGCUUGACUGCUGCACUGAUGUCUUCAUGAUGCCUGACAGAAACCAGAACAUGCCAAGCAUCCCACCCUACCGUGCAGACUGGUAGGACACUAUCCUGCAGACAGCAGAGUGGAUUGCUUGCUAUCCAAAUGUGUCUCUGUAUACCGCCCAAAAUAAAGAACUCUUUGAAAUAAGAGAUAGGAAUCUGUAGAAUCUCUGAUUUGUAACAAAACCUUUGGUGUGGGGAUUGGAAGGGGUUGAUACAGAGAUGGAACAUUCUGUGACUAGCUCCAUCUUUGUCAUUUUUCCAGGAUUUUGG